UACAGAGGGUGCAAGCGUUAAUCGGAAUUACUGGGCGUAAAGCGCACGUAGGCGGUUAGUUAAGUUGGAAGUGAAAUCCCCGGGCUCAACCUGGGAACUGCUUUCAAAACUGCUGAGCUAGAGUACGGUAGAGGGUGGUGGAAUUUCCUGUGUAGCGGUGAAAUGCGUAGAGAUAGGAAGGAACACCAGUGGCGAAGGCGACCACCUGGACUGAUACUGACACUGAGGUGCGAAAGCGUGGGGAGCAAACAGG
rnacentral:rRNA from 1 species